rnacentral:lncRNA from 1 species
CCCAACCUGACUGCUGUGUUCUGCCCUGAGUCUGCAGAGGCUGACCCUGGCCAGGAAAGUGGUUGGAAAAGCAUUUUUGCAGAGAGGCAGCCUGAAGGUGGUGGCUCUAUGUAAGUGUGCACCCUUGGUUGGAAAGGCUGAAGGUCAGGAAUGGUAUUAGGAGAAAGUUCCCCCUUUCUCCUUUGUCCCUCCUUCCUGCCCCUGGACACAGGCUUGAGGAUCUGCAUCUGGCUGGCUCACCCUUCCUGCACAACUUUUCUAUUCAAGUUUUUCAGGGCAGGGCUUUAAGAAACACUUCAGGUUAAUUAUAGCCAGGGGUCAUUUUCUAUACAAGCGGGACAAACUUGAUGUGACUACAGGGCUGUCUCCAGGGCUGAUUCAUUCGACCUAGAAAACUGCCCCUAGGGAAACAGCCUCAGAAUCUUGCCUGCAGCUCUGGAAGUGGUAAUGGGCCCACCUGUCUCCCUGCCCAUCAUCUCACAUCUGGGGGAAUGUCUUGGCUAGCAGCAUGGCCCUGAGUGAGGGGUUUAGGUAAACAAGGUGUGACUGGGAUUGGAAGAGUCACAAACCUGUUUGUUAGAGCAAUGCUGAAGAGUUUCAGGAAAAGAAUUUCAUCAAGGCUGGCACAUCUGUCCUCAGACACUUGAAGGAUUCCCUGGAGGAAGGAGGACUGAACUUGCCCUACAAGAUCCUGCGGGGCAAAGAACUGUAAGCAGAGACAAAAUGAAAGCCCUCUAGGCCCACAAUUGAUUCUAACGGCUGUGAGGGAAUGAGCUUCAACUACUGUUGAUGGGAGGGACUGUGUGCCAGGCACUGUGCUAGGGACUCUCAUGCAUGAUCUCAUUCAUCUUCUGCAUAACCCAAUGAGGUAUGAUCUACUAUCAAGUGUCUACAUUUGUAUUGGAUUGGUAUGUGUGCCCAACAAAGAAAGUGUCAUUUUUCCUUGGGAAUGAAAUCACAUCAUUUGUGAAGACUUAGUAGAGGCUAAAUGAGUACAAGCAGCAUUUACCUUAUUAAACAGAUAUUUUCAACAUUUAAAACAGUCUGACCAUCAAUGAUGAUGUUCAAAAACAUCUCAAGAUGUUUUAGAGCUAAAGCAAAUGAGAAAAUAUAGUAAAGGGCUGAUUCCUGUGGAUAUUCUGCAAAGGAAAGUAACAUGGUGGAGUGGAAGUGGGAUAAGGUUUGAAGCCAAAAGACCUGGUGGGCUUAAGGUCUCCAUUUAUUGGUUGUGUGACCUUGGAUAAGCCACUUCACCUCCUGGUGAGACUUGGGCAAAAUGGAGAUCAUAUUAAUCACCUCACAGUUUGUUACGCAUUGAGUAAAUGCACAUGUAAGCAUUAUUGACUGUAAAUGAUUAUGCAUAUUUUAAUUAUGGUAUAUCCAAGCCUGAUUUUUCAUCCAGUGCUUACAGUGCCCUGGGCAUAAUACUCAUUCAAUAAACAUUUGUUUGAUGAUAGAGUAAUAAAUGAAUAUGUGAUGCAGAAGUUUUAAAAAUAUUUUUGCUGCUGUCUGACUCAUUUAUAGACAUUUAUAAAAUUGAGGAUUUGUAAGUUGUCCCUGGACAAUCAGAUCUCUUGAUUCAAAGGUGAAAGAUAAUCAUUCAGGUUUUCAAGUUUUUCCUGAUAUGAGACAUUAACUGGCAGGGCUGAUUAUGAGAAAUUGUCAUUAUCCUGCUCAAAUAUAAGAUCAUAGAUUUGGGAAACCUUAGAAAUAAUUACCUUCUUUUCAAAUAUGAGGAAACUGAAGCCCAGAGGCUCUAAGAAAUCAGGGACUUUAUAUAAUUUUUUCAUUUCUCUAGCUCUAGGGUAAUUGUAGAUAGAUAUACAACAAGUAUGUUUUUAAAAGUAUAUUUUUCAAGAAUUAUGCUAAGCACUGGGGAAAUAAACAUUAACAAGACAAAACCCUCCCCUUUGAGGAACUGAUAAUCUAGACAGACAUGAAAACCAGGAAGUGUGCUAUCAGUUAUAUUAAUGUUGUACAGAGUUCUAGUGGCAAGAGGGAACUGCCAAGGGAAAUCUGAGAGGAGGUGUUUACCCUGCGUAAACACCUUGCUGUUUAGCUUGGCAUCCCUAGAAGCAGACCCUGAGGACAGUGGGAAAAUGGAUUAUUAAGGAAGUGCUCCUGAGAGAAACCAGAAAGGGGGUGUAGGGAGCAAGGGAGGAUAAGGAGAAGACUCCAGUAAGGAUGAGAUUACUCAAGUCCCAUGGAAGACAGGUUAGCCUGAUCCUGCAGGGGAGCCCUGGAGGCACAUGCCUGAAAGGCAGUCUUGGAGCAGCUGCCUCAUGUUGGAGGAAAAACACUGAAGUGGGAUGAGAAGAUGUGAGUUCCGGUCCCAGAUCUGAUUUGUUUGGCACAUAAGUUUGGACUUAACAUCUCUGGAAAGCCAGAAAUCAGAGAUACAGAGAAGUAUUGAAAUGCUGAAAUGCUAUGAAUUUACUAUAAGAGAACAUUCUUCACUGAAGAGAUCUCUAGCUGCCAAAACACCCUUUCAUGCGUGAAAUACCGGGGCAAAGAGGAAGGAAAAGAGAAGAGUAUGACUCUAGGAACCAUGUUGCAGAAAUGCCAAAGGGUGGGACAAACAAAGUUACUAAUGUGGAGAAAGAAGAUUAUCAUGUGUGGAACGAAGGACAAUAUGAACAUUAAAUAAUGCCCUGACUCAUUCCAAAAAGAAUCUGAGAUGACCAAUAAAGCCAUUUUUAAUUGUUUAUUAGUGAACAAUAGAUUAUGAGUGCUAAAGGGAUUCAGGAAGAAGAAAGAUCAGUGCAGAGUAGAGAAGUCUGAUGGAUGCAUUGAAGAAGCUAUGCUUGAGCUGAAAUGACAAGAGAGCUGUUUUUCGCUUUCAGAAUUAUUAUGUGGCAAUGGUAAUUGACAACAGAGAAGCUGAAGGUAUGAGGACAAGGGUGUCUUAUCUUUCCCCAGAAGUCUUGCUUGGCCCAUGGGAGAAUACAGGCCUGCACCUUGGACUUGGAGUCAGUAGAUUCCUUCCUGUGAUUUUUUACAAGCUCAAACAUCCCCUGACUGAGUCAUUCACCAGAGAAAGAGGCUUUUCAAAUGAUUUGUGCAUUAGCUAUAGUCUGCCUUAUUCAACCCCAUUUUAGUGUCACAAAAGCUUCUUCUUCCUACAUUGUUAGAGCCUUUUUGACUUUUCUGAAACGACAUCUGCUCACCUCUUGGGUAACACCCUGCAGGGCUCAGUCGAGCUCAGUCACCCUUCACUUUUUUUUUUUUUUUUUUGAGCCAGUUUUGUAAGGUGCUGAGGGAGGUUUGUAUUAGUCCUUGUUGCCCCUAGAAGAAAUAACAGCUAUAAUUUUGGCCCCGAAGAAAAGGAACAGAUAGAAGAAGAAGGCAGAGGAGUCAGUGUUGGAGUGAUGCCAUGUGAGAAAGACUCAACUGGCCAUUGCUGGCUUUGAAAAUGGAAGGAGGCAUAAGCCAAGGAAUGAAUGCAGGUGCCUCUAGAACCUGGAAAAAGCAAGGAAACAAAUUCUCCUCUAGAACCUCCAGAAGGAAUGCAUUCCUGCCAACACCUUGAUUUUUAGCUCGGUGAGACCCAUGCUGGACUUCUGACCUGCAGGAUUGCAAGAUAAGAUAUUUGACUUAUUUUAAGAUGCUAAGUUUGCAGUAAUUUGAUAUGGUAGCCAUCGGAAACUAAUACCGAUGCCAAAGCAGUAAAGCAGGAAAGCACUCCAAAAUCACAGGAGUGAGAGGAGCAGAAAUGUCCUAGGAGAAGACAAUGUUUCCUUUUGAAAAGGAAAGUUUACUGGCAACUUCCAUUUGAAUUUCUUAAUUUCUUUCCUCAGUGGCAGUCACUACUUCCAAGGUGGCAGGUUCCAGAGCUGAUUCAUUAUAUAAUCUUUUCUCAGGAGUAUUCUAGCCACCUUUAAAGAAGCUAGGGCCAUUUUCCUGACACUGCAUCAAGGGGUAAGGUUAGUGGUAAAGAAACCAUGCGGUAGGAAAGGCCAACUUUCUCCCUACAUAAUCCAAUCGCAUUAUCUCCAGACUUGCUCACCCUCUGCUCUUUGCAUACUGCAGCUCCAGAGCUUUCAUACCUACAGACUUCCUGGAGUUAAGACUAAAACAAGAGUUGUGCUACAGACUACCGUUCCUAUUAUCAUUUUUUGUGUCCUGCUGAGUCCUCCCCUCUUGGCAACUUCAGGACCACCCACUGGGAAGAUAAUAUACAACCCAUCAGGAAACUCCCAGUGCCCAUCGUGGAGGCCAAGUGCUGCCAACUCUGAUUGCUUCUGGAAUGCCAUUUCUUCCCUGCCCUUUCAAUAUUCUUGUUAUGCGACUCCUAUGAUCACUGCCAAUCUGUAGAAAAUUACAGGAUGAAUUUUUGUGAAGGACUGAAUUUGCAUACUGGUCUUUUGUUGUUUAUUGUUGGGGGGAUUUUGCUUUUUGCACACAAUUUCUGCACAUUUUAUUGGAAGUUAUUGGGUUAGAUUCAUCCCAUUCAUUCACUAGCCUGGCAUUGCUAUGCAUGUGCUGUAGGGGCUUAGCAUUAAACGAUUUUCUUUGUUCAGAUUUGGAUUGCUGUCUCUGCUUGCAAAUUAUUUUUCACAAUGACUCCUUCUUUUCCUUCUCUCUCUCUCUCUUUCUCUCUCUCUCUCUCUCACACACACACACAGACACACACACACACACACACACACACACACACACACACACACAGAUGAGGUUAGAUAUUUUUCCAUUGCCAAGUUCAGGACCCAUGAAUAC